rnacentral:rRNA from 1 species
GAUGAACGCUAGCUACAGGCUUAACACAUGCAAGUCGAGGGGUAACGAGAGGAAAGCUUGCUUUCCUUGUCGACGACCGGCGCACGGGUGAGUAACGCGUAUCCAACCUGCCCCCUACUAGGGAAUAACCUUGCGAAAGUAAGACUAAUACUCUAUAAUUUCCUCAGAUGCCAUCUGACGAGGAAUAAAGAUUUAUCGGUUGUGGAUGGGGAUGCGUCUGAUUAGCUUGUUGGCGGGGUAACGGCCCACCAAGGCAACGAUCAGUAGGGGUUCUGAGAGGAAGGUCCCCCACAUUGGAACUGAGACACGGUCCAAACUCCUACGGGAGGCAGCAGUGAGGAAUAUUGGUCAAUGGGCGGAAGCCUGAACCAGCCAAGUAGCGUGCAGGAUGACGGCCCUAUGGGUUGUAAACUGCUUUUAUACAGGAAUAAAGUUAGCCACGUGUGGUUAUUUGUAGGUACUGUAUGAAUAAGGACCGGCUAAUUCCGUGCCAGCAGCCGCCGUAA